rnacentral:rRNA from 1 species
GAUGAACGCUAGCGGCAGGCUUAACACAUGCAAGUCGAGGGGUAGAGGAAGCUUGCUUCCUUGAGACCGGCGCACGGGUGCGUAACGCGUAUACAAUCUACCUUUUACAGAGGGAUAGCCCCAGAGAAAUUUGGAUUAAUACCUCAUAGUAUUUUUGAAUCGCAUGAUUUGAUUAUUAAAGUUCCAACGGUAAAAGAUGAGUAUGCGUCCCAUUAGCUAGAUGGUAAGGUAACGGCUUACCAUGGCAAUGAUGGGUAGGGGUCCUGAGGGGGAGAUCCCCCCACACUGGUACUGAGACACGGCCCAGACUCCUACGGGAGGCAGCAGUGGGGAAUUUUGGACAAUGGGCGAAAGCCUGAUCCAGCCAUGCCNCGUGUGUGAAGAAGGUCUUCGGAUUGUAAAGCACUUUAAGUUGGGAGGAAGGGCAG